UAGAACACUAGUAUUUUAAAAAGGGACAUUUGACGAACAAGUAUGAAAUCAAAAGUUUGAAAAUAAAAUGCCAGAAGCUCAUAUUGCAACAAUUUCAUUAUUUAAGUCGAUUUUGUGCUCAAAUUCAAUUUAAGAAAAUACACAUAACUUCCCUCAUAAAAUUUACCCAUGCUGAAAUCUUGACAUGCCAUUGAAAAUCACCAAAUUAUUUGAUACGUCUACAAAGAGUGACACCAUCUCCAAUGGUGAGGAGAGCUAUCUCCACCCGCAUGUCAUUUACUAGGAAAGCAUUGAAUUGUUGUAUAUGAUGUUUGUUCUCCUUCAACUUUUCAUGGACGACGUCAUCGCUUAGCGCCACUGAUCCAAACCAUAGAGUGUUAUCAUAGACAAUUACUCCACCUACCUUCACUAGUUUUAGAAGCAACUCAUGAUAUUUAAUAUACUCCGAUUUUUUGGCAUCAACAAAUGCAAAAUCAAAAUCUUCUUCUUUGCCAUCAUUGAGGAGGUCAUUCAAGGCAACCAAUGCCUGAGAUUCCACAAAAUUGAUCUUAUGAUCAACUCCCGCUUUUUUUAUAAAUGGCAAACCAAAUUCGAACGAUUGUCUAUUCACAUCAAUUGCCGUUAUCUGGCCAUCGGCGGGCAGUGCAAGCGCAGUGGUGAGGAGGGAAUAGCCAGUGAAUACACCGAUCUCUAUCGUUUUCUUUGCGUUCAUCAAUUUCAAAAGCAUUGAUAGAAACAAUCCUUCAUCCGCUGGUACAUUCAUCAAACUCAUGGACUUAUCGAAUUUCUCGAAGGUGGAUUCCCUGAGUUCCUUCAACUGUUCAUGCUCUCUUGGAUAGGCGUUGGCUUCCAGUAUAUACUGGAGAAGAGCGGUGCUCUGAAGGAUGUUCUUCUUGGGGGAAUCGUCGGCCAUUAGCUGAAAUGCAACGAAGGUGUUUGGAUGCUUGGAACAAAGCGUGAGUUGAAAAUUAUAAAGUAAGCAGAGACUUAAAACCAAGCUCCAGCGUGAUUCUAAAAUGAUUAUAAUUAUUUUGUCAUUUUUA
rnacentral:misc_RNA from 1 species